GAUGAACGCUGGCGGCGUGCCUAAUACAUGCAAGUCGAGCGAACAGACGAGGAGCUUGCUCCUCUGACGUUAGCGGCGGACGGGUGAGUAACACGUGGAUAACCUACCUAUAAGACUGGGAUAACUUCGGGAAACCGGAGCUAAUACCGGAUAAUAUAUUGAACCGCAUGGUUCAAUAGUGAAAGACGGUUUUGCUGUCACUUAUAGAUGGAUCCGCGCGGCAUUAGCUAGUUGGUAAGGUAACGGCUUACCAAGGCGACGAUGCGUAGCCGACCGGAGAGGGUGAUCGGCCACACUGGAACUGAGACACGGUCCAGACUCCUACGGGAGGCAGCAGUAGGGAAUCUUCCGCAAUGGGCGAAAGCCUGACGGAGCAACGCCGCGUGAGUGAUGAAGGUCUUCGGAUCGUAAAACUCUGUUAUUAGGGAAGAACAAAUGUGUAAGUAACUAUGCACGUCUUGACGGUACCUAAUCAGAAAGCCACGGCUAACUACGUG
rnacentral:rRNA from 1 species